GAUAUACUCCCUCCGUCCGGAAAUACUUGUCCAAGGAAUGGAUGUAUGUAGACGUAUUUUAGUUCUAGAUGCAUCUAUUUGUAUCCAUUUCCACGACAAGUAUUUUCGGACGGAGGGAGUAUACA
rfam:Triticum aestivum genome assembly, contig: Triticum_aestivum_CS42_TGACv1_scaffold_404613_5BL